rnacentral:rRNA from 1 species
CCUACGGGCGGCAGCAGUCGGGAAUAUUGCGCAAUGGAGGAAACUCUGACGCAGUGACGCCGCGUGCAGGAAGAAGGUUUUCGGAUCGUAAAAUGCUUUAGACAGGGAAGAAAACAGACAGUACCUGUAGAAUCCGCUCCGGCUAACUACGUGCAAACAGCCGCGGUAAUACGUAGGGAGCAAGCCGUAUCCGGAUUUAUUGGGUGUAAUGGGUGCGUAGACGGGGAACCAAGUUAGUUGUGAAAUCCCUCAGCUUAACUGAGGAACGGCAACUAAAACUAUUGUUCUUGAGUGCUGGAGAGGAGAGUGGAAUUCCUAGUGUAGCGGUGAAAUGCGUAGAUAUUAGGCGGAACACCAGUGGCGAAGGCGACUUUCUGGACAGUAACUGACGUUGAGGCACGAAAGUGUGGGGAGCAAACAGGAUUAGAUACCCUUGUAGUC